GACAGCAGCAGCCGCGGGAAUACGAAGGGUGCAAGCGUUACUCGGAAUUACUGGGCGUAAAGCGUGCGUAGGUGGUGGUUUAAGUCCGUUGUGAAAGCCCUGGGCUCAACCUGGGAAUUGCAGUGGAUACUGGGUCACUAGAGUGUGGUAGAGGAUAGUGGAAUUUCCGGUGUAGCAGUGAAAUGCGUAGAGAUCGGAAGGAACAUCUGUGGCGAAGGCGACUAUCUGGGCCAACACUGACACUGAGGCACGAAAGCGUGGGGAGCAAACAGGAUUAGAUACCCCUGUAGUCCCUGUCUCUUAUAC
rnacentral:rRNA from 1 species